rnacentral:lncRNA from 1 species
UUUUUAGAAGAAGGUGAAAAACACUUGAAACCAACGAUUCUUGUAAAGAGUCUCAAGUAUAGUGUAAAACAUUAAAGAAACAAACUCAAAACGUCCCAGAUCUGUACAAAUCUAGGAGGUACAGAAAAGAAAUUAGGGUUUCGAAAGAAACUCGUAUAUAGAGAUGAAGAAAUCUGUCUAGAAACCCAAAGAUCGUAGCAAAUACAACAUGAUUUUGCUUGAAAUCACACUGGAGUAGCCAAGAACAGGCGGGUGACAAACCCUAGAUGCACGUUGGCAUGGACCUGGGCUCUUUAAGACCUUAGAGAAGGCAAGCAUGGCAUGAGAGGAGCUACUGGAGGCUUAAGAGACGAUGAGAGGUCACACAUGGUAGGUCAACUGUUGAAGAUUAGGGUUAGGUUGAGAGUGUUUUGAGAGCAGAGAGGAUUUUAGUGCGGCGGUGUGUAGAGAAAUAGUUAGGGUUAAGGGCCAUUUAGAAUUAAAAAAGGAAAUAAUGAACGAGGGUCAUUGAACUUUUAGAUCAACAACUAGGAUCUGAUGAUUUUUAUGUCGCGUAGGUGCAUUUAAGGCCCGAGUAGGGUUAUUUAAUCUGCAAUUGGGCUGGGAUAUUAGAUUGAAUUAAGGCUA